UUUUUUUUCUCCGUCAAUGUAUGUAAAUCUCUUGAUAAAGUUUAUUAUCAAUGUGAUGAUGCCGAAAUCUCCCUCAGUUGAGGGAUGUAUCUAAUCUAAUCGAUGAUACAGUUUAUUAGUAUUUGCGAUGAUGAAACAUUGAUUUAUACUACAUGGUUUUUUCAGGACUCGAAUUAGAAAAAACAAUUAGCAUUGAGUUACAUAUGGCCUCUUUAACCCUGUGGGAUAUCACUAGGAUUACAAAACCACGAAAAUUUAGAUUUGACAGCACAGGGAAACAAUUGAUUUGUAAAGAGAUUUGGGUGAAUGGCAAUUUUCUUUUGAAAUAAAGUGCAAAACCUAGGAAUUCAUGGACCCAGAUCCUCUUAAAAAAACCUGUAAAUUUCUUCGAACUGAGCCCUAUGAAGAAGUGAAGAAGACUCGUAUUUCAAGUGAAAAAAAAUAAAAAAAUCACACGAAAUUGCUAUGGGUCGAGCCCCAGAAUAAGGGAACAGGGAAAGAAAAGAAAAAAGAGAUAAUUACUGGACUAGUCAACUCAAAAUCCUCAAUAUACAGUUCCUCGAGUUUAAUCCAAGACCUGAACUUGGCGACAACGAUAGAAAACAACGACAACUUAGAAACAUCUCUACUCUUAAUGUCUCAGUUGGUAGGUCGCGUUCCGGGUUUUAUUUUCGUCCCACCUCACCCGGUCUUUUUUGGUACUUCUUUGGUACUUCCUCCCACCUCCCCCUCAGCCGUGAAAAACCAAGAAAAACCCCGUGAUCGAGUCCCGCACACGCCCAAACUCCCGUCGUUAUCUCUACUCCUAAUGGAGCAGUUGGUAGCCUCGUACGGUUUCUUUUUGUCCCACCACUUUCAACCGUUUUAUUUCGCUGGUUUUUUUCGUCCCUCCCCCACCCCACCGGUUUAGUUUCGCGUCACCCUCUCACACAACGAAAAAAAUCUUAACGGAUCAUAACUUUCCAUGCUGGUGCAAGUUAUUUUUAGUAAUGUCUUUAUGUGAAAGAAUCAAUCACGAUCAAUCUCUAAAUAUCAAAUCUAAAUUAAUUAACCUUACCUUAAAUUGCUCAAUCACAUUAAUUAGGAAACAAAAUAACCGAUUUUAAGAAAAUAUCUACUCUUAAUGGAGGGUAUUACAUACCAAACAUAGGUACGUCAUUAGCUCGCUUCCUUCCCUUCUCUUCCCUUCGUCCCUCAGUCCCAUGCUCGUGGCGCUGAAGUGGCAUCGACAGGCGAUGGCGGCGAGGACAGCACAUGGCAGCCCCUGAAGCACGAACACGACUGCACCUCGGGUCUGCCGUCUCCCAAGAUAUGGGUGAGUUCUCGUGAUGCCCACCCUAAACCCUCAUGUCCUACAAAUUCCUCAACCUCUACCAUCUCGAUUUCGUCCAUGCUCUGAUCCAAAUGACGAUGGAGCUCCGGCGGAUUGACAAUGGAGGUUUGCCAUCCUUCCUCUCAGCACCCACUCCUGGAGGAACAACACGCCAUGCGGAUCGAACCCGGUCGAGAUCACUCACCAAGAUUGCUAUUCGGAAGUUUUUUGUCAAAAAGUGAAGAGUGGGACGGGAUCUGCACUUCUGUUAAUAUAACAUAUACUUGUGCAGGUGCAGGUUUUGUUUUAAAAAUCCAAUUUGUUUAUCCUUUUGUCGCUGAAAUUGUUUACUAAUUAUGUCAUUGGUUUUAUUUCUUCUAGAUGUUGUAUAUUCUUGGAUUGAAGAGGCUGUCUGACAAGGUGAAAGAGCUAAUCGUUGUAGUUUUACACCAAUGCAAAUUUGUUUUGCUUCAAUGUUAAACAUGACCUGCGACAGUUGCCGUCACUGUUGAUUAUUCGUACUCAGAUUAAGUUUCAGGCUUAGUCGUCUCUGUCGUCACUCGUCAGCGCACGGACGAUGGGUUGGUGCCAUACUAUCAUGUGGCAUCUCCGUCGUUCUGGGCCGGGAAGAUAACAGAUUUUCAGGAAACAAAUAAUACAUUUUACUAACUUCCUUAAAUUAUGCAAAUCAAUCGAUUCCUUUUAUUGGUUCAAUUUGUCUUAGGAAACAAAUAACAGAUUUUCAGAAAACAAAUAAUACAUUUUAAUCUAACUUUCCUAACUUAUGCAAAUCAAUCGAUUCCUUUUAUUGGUUCAAUUUGUCUUAGAAACAAAUAACAGAUUUUCAGGAAACAAAUAAUAUUUUUUAAUCUAACUUCCUUAAAUUAUGCAAAUCAAUCGAUUUCUUUUAUUGGUUCAAUUUGUCUUAGGAAACUAAUAACAGAUUUUCAGGAAACAAAUAAUACAUUUUAAUCUAACUUUCCUAACUUAUCUAAAUCAAUCGAUUCCUUUUAUUGGUUCAAUUUGUCUUAGGAAACAAAUAAAAGAUUUUCAGAAAACAAACAAUACAUUUUAAUCUAACUUCCUUAAAUUAUGCAAAUCAAUUGAUUCCUUUUAUUGGUUCAAUUUAUCUUAGGAAAUAAAUAACAGAUUUUUAGGAAACAAAUAAUACAUUUUAAUCUAACUUUCCUAACUUAUUAGUGAAAUUUGUUUUAGGAAACAAAUAACAGACACGUCACAACUUUCCUCCCAAUAAAUAGUUUCUUAACAUUUGCAAACUUUCCUAAUCAGACACGUCACAAACGGGCAGGUACUGAUAUCACGUUAUCAAACAAUAAAACCCCAUUUGCAUAGAAAUCAGUUCAGAAAUCCUAACUUUUCUAAAUUUUUACCUUUCCUUGAUAACAACAAACAUUUUCUAUGUUUUCCAUCGAUAUUAGCAUUUUUUUGAACUGAGAUCUCCGGGUUAUGAUUUUUUUUGUGAUUCUUUCCAAUUGUGACCUCUCCUUCCACUCCGGCUCCUUGUCGGAUAAACACCUCCACCACAGCCAGGUGACACCGCCCCAGACCUCCUGCCUCUCCACACCUUCUCCGCCACCUCCUUCUCGUACUCCAUUAACAAUCCCUCCGCCACAUUUGUCCACGGCGGUGUCGAGGGCAUGGUGCAGCAGCGUACCAGCGUUAGAGCAGCGCAUAGCAGCAGGAAGCAACACGCGGUAGGCGAGGCUGAGGGGGCGGCCGGCAGAAGAUGGCCAUGACUGGAGGCGGUGCGAGGUAGGGGGGCAACAGAUGGGGCGAGCGCAGCCAGCGAGAGUGUGGCGCGCGACCAGGGUGUGUGUCGCGCGGGGCACGGUGGUGCGGUGGCUGCGGCGAGCGCGACGGCAGCGGCGGGCGCGACCGACGCGGUGUAGCACGGGCGUGGGCAUGGAAAGGGAGUGGCCCCGCGGGCGCGGAAGAAGAGCGGCAGGCUCAGGCAUGGGCGUGCAUAGGAGCGGGCAUGUGCCACGGGGUCAAUCCAAGGAGCUCGGUGGCUACCCCUGCAAUGGCCAUGGCGGACGGCGGUUCUCGGCCACGGCGAAAUACCAAACGAGAGCAAACGAGAGGGGAGACAAUGGAAAGGCAAGAGGAGAUCAUGGCGGUGUCAAUGGCGCCCUAGGGGAAGACAUGGGAGCUCGGGGCAGCGCGGAUCGAACGGCAAUGUCGCGGUGGCCCAAGGUUGAGGAAGACGGCAGCGAGGUCGAUGCGGGGGUGCUGGACUUGAUCUCGUUAGCGCGGACGAAGUAGCGAAGGCAUUCGGAGCUCCUCGACAAGCUCCUAGCCCGCAGGGAGGGCAGUGGCCAUGUGGACGGGGUCGGUCAUGGUGGCCGUGGCGUCUGACUUCGUCCAGAUCGACGGGAUCGAGCGAGCGAGGAGAAGUGGAUUUGGGAGGGGGCGUCAAGGAGGAGUGAGGCCCCUUAUCCAUUCCCCUUCGAUGCCAGCGAGGUGGUCGGGCGGGAGCCCGUCUCUGUAGCGAUGCAGCUCGGGGAACAGGAGAAGACGACCGCGCGGGGACUGGACCGCUGAGCCGGUUCGGUGGCAAGGCCCGGGGGACAGGGCGAAUCCCCUUUUACAUCGUCCUUUUGGUUUUUCAAUGUAUUCUAAUCUGUUUCUCCUUUUUAACACCGUUUUCUAUUUAUUCUUAUCAACUAAAUGAUCUCUACUCCUAAUGUCUCAGUUGGUAGUCUCCGUUUCAGGUUUAUUUUCGUCCCACCUCCCGAGUGAGGGAGAGGGGGAGAGAGAGUGGGGAAGAGGGAGGGAGGGGGUGUGUGUGAGAGAGAGAGAAUUUGAUGAUAAAAAAGGUCAUCGAUGUCACUUAAUAUGUAUGAGAAUAUUCAAUGAAAUAUUAACAUAAUUGAUAUUGAACUUUUAAAGUUAAUGUGGCCCCGUUGCAAUGCACGGGCGUUCUUCUAGUGUAGUAGUAGAAACGACAUAUAGGCCAUCUAGAAGACGACGGUGAUGAUCUACUGCGACUCGACGGCCGGCGUCGCGUUGGUGGUUAAGCCGCGGUCCUUGGCGCCUCCGCCGAAGAUCGGCUCGGCGAACAUGGAGCUGACCUUGUUCUUGAUGCACUCCCAGUGCUCGCUCGCCUGCGCCUCCGUGAACUGCCUGUACUGGUCCUUGGCCCGCUCCAUCAGCGACGCCCCCUCCCCCACCGUCCACUUGAAGCACGUUGACGCCGGCGCCUGCGGCUCCUUCUCCGGCGCCGCCGCUCCCGCUGCUGCCCCCUUGUUCUCCAUCAAGCCCGAAAACUGAGGUUGAAAACUUGUCUGCGUCGAGAGGAACAAGACGAUGCCGCCGGUUGUGGUUGUGGUCGUGUUGCUUUGGUGGCCAUGGGGCUGCCGGGGGCGUGGCUACUUAUGCAGGGGAGGUCGGGGCGUCUUGAGGAGGAAGCCGGGUCCGUCACGGGCUUGGAGUUAGAGAACACGAGUUGGCCACACGAGAAACUAGUGAGUCCGGAUCAUCAUCAUGGAAGAAAACUAAGUAAACACGGAUUCUCACAAGUGCAAACGGGAACGGGAACUACUCCUUCUCCCUGUUCCCUCCUUUGUUAAUCCCCUUCGUUAACAAUGUGCCCUUCAUUCUUUUUCUCCGUCGUCAGUUCAGUGAUGUACUCCCUUCGUUCGGAAUUACUUGUCUCGGAAAUGGAUGUAUCUAGAAAUACGUCUAGAUACAUCCAUUUCCGAGACAAGUAAUUCCGAAUGGAGGGAGUAUGUGAUUGUAUGUAAUCACCUUGAUAAAGCUUAUCGAUGCGAUGAUGCCGAAAUCUCCCUUAGCUGAGUGAUGAAUCUAAUCUAAUCUAUGCUAACAUUUAUUAUUGGGGACCACCUAUGCGUCAGUUAACUGAAAACAAAACUGCCAGUCACUUUGAUCCAGAAAUAGAUUGUGUUACUGUUAAUCUCAUACCUCCAGCCGACAGAUCCGUCCGGACAGGCAAACCUUGUACUGGAGUGCCACAUGAAGUUGAAAUGUUGGCUAGACAAUUUUGUUCAUCCAGCCAUUAACAUUCUACAUGUAAUCCUAUGCUAUGCCUUGCAGGUAAUUAAUGGUAGGAACAGCUGAACUUAAAGCUAACCAUUCCAUACAGCAAAUUGUUGAAGUCAUCUCGGAUCAUGAAAAAUAUUCCCAGGUAUGUACUACUACUCACAUCCCAUCUAGUAGUGCACUAAGUCACGAUUCAGUCUGAUAAUUACAGAACUGAGAAUAUGUGUUUUGUUUCCACUAAUUUUCUCGCAGGCUAAGUAAACUUUUAUCUGAUCUGAUGGAUGGGAGCCGAAUCUUAAUAUAUUUUUUCAAACGAAAAAGUAAUGUGAUACGGUCACUCGGCAACUUAGAAUGGAAGGAUGGCCAGCAUUGUCUAUACAUGGUGAUAAAGCUCAGUCUGAAACGGACUAUGUUCUGGCAGAGUUUAAGAAUGGGAAGAGUCCUAUAAUGGCUGCCACAGAUGUAGCGGCACGUCGUCUUGGUAUGGUGACUUGUUUGAAUAUUAGGAUUAUGUUAUGGUUCCAAGUGCUCAGGGCCGGAUGAUAAGUCGGAGGGCUGUUCAGCUGCUUUUGGUUGAGUGAACUGAACUUGUGGGUUGGUGGUGUAUGUGAGGUGCUAUCAUCAUCUUUUCCUUCCGUUUGCCUCACUUCAGUUUCCAUCUAUCAUGGUGACCAAGUUGUCUACGAUUUAGAGACCUGUGAGGGAGAUCCUUAACUUACUUUUAAAAAGGGCAAUAUACUAUUUAGCUUCUGUUAGUUGAUUUUUUUUAGCAUCUUCGUUUGAGCAUCUGUUAUUUAAUAUGCAUCUUGAUGCCUUUUUCUAACUAUCCCUGGAAGACAUCUUCUGUAAGCAUUGCUAAAUAUUUGGUAAGUACCAUCCUAUACCUGCUUAAUAAGUGCCUCGUCUGUCGGUAUCACUGCCAAUUGGUAUAAAAAUGAAGCACCUAAGCAUUGCGGCCUGUGUUGGAUUGGUGUGGACGACAGAUUUGUUCUGGUUCACACGGAUAUAUGUUGGUGUUGGUACAUUAUUGGAUAUAUAAAAGCCACGCUUUGUAAAAAAGGCUGAGAGUUUAAGCACCAGCAAUCCCACAUCCAGCAGUGAUUGAUACCCAGUUCAGUUCUGCAGCCCCUUCGACUUGUGUUAUCCGUAGAUGUUGGAAGUGAAGCCUUGUGCAGUGUUCUUUGGAUCUUGUCUAAGACAUGUGCUACCUUUCAGUGGAGAUCGACAAUGUUGGUGCCCGGUGUGGUCCGCAGUGGUAUUCAGGAAUCGGGACGACACAUUUAUCUUGUUUGUGUACUGAUGGUGGUCUUGUUGACUUUGCAGAUGUAAAGGAUAUUAAGUGCGUGAUUAAUUGUUGUGAAUCCAGCGCUAGAAGCCAUGUCCAAGUCCUCUGGUUCAAUGGGAGGAGGUAUCCAGGCCGGUCAAGGGGCCGAGGUGGGUUUGGUGGAGGGUGGUAACCGUUCUGGAUCAAAUUCCAUUCCAGUACGUAGAAGAUAUUAAGAAACAAAAUAUUUUGAUGCUGAAAAAGACAGAACGAUGAAGUUUUAUCUGUAUACAUUAGGCAUUAAAUUAAAUACAUUUUUGGGGACUUUGGAAUCCUGCUACUGUUAGAAGAUCAAAACAAGAGUCAUUCUUAAUAUUUUUGUACUGGAGGUCAUAUGAAAGGAUCUCAUGUAUCAGCAACUAUGGAGAUCACAGUAGUCCCUGUUUUGUUGCUUCUGCUUCUAGUCCCCACUUGUGUUGCUUCUGCAUCUAUCUGUAUAAUGGAGGGAUUUCCCCUUUUUUUUUCCUUGUUAAGCCAUCUCCAACAGCGUGCUGCAACAACUUCCUCACGCAGCCGCCGGCUAACGCCGGCCCACCCUCCCCUCUACCUCCCCCACCGCCGUGCCAUCCCCUACACCACCCCACCCCUAAGAGGGGCUAGUUCUUCUCCGGCAAGGUCCGGCCAAGGAAGGAACAAAAAUGUGAAUGACGCGAGGAAGCGCCAAACCCCUCUCCCUGUAUGCAACAAUGCAAAACAUAAGAGAAUGGUUUCCUUCUUCCGAACGGCACCAAAGGAAAAAAGGGUAAAAAGUCAAUUCCUUUUCAUCCAAGGAAAUACCUACAGAAACAAACACUUGGGGGGCAAACGGGGUGAUCAUACUUGGAAAAUCAAUAAAGCUUAAGUGGCCGCACAAGCUAGAGAGCAAAAGCAAGGGAAAACAUAAGUAAAGCAGAUGCAAGCAAUAGCAGGGAAUAUAAAAAUAUAGCUAACACAUAUUGUAGAACCAACAAUAACGAACUGUUCCACGAGUACCACAAACAGCUAACCGCGCUUAAUGUUUGGCCAGCCAAAAGACAAAACCGAUACAGCUAAACGUGCCAAAACCAUCGAACUUCGACACUAAAGAUAAAAACAACGCAGGGCAUGGACAUCCAACGACGACAGCCGACGGCCUUGCGCUUAGUCGACCUCCUCCAUCUUGCUCUCACCAGCGUCAUCCUCCAGGGGUGGCAUGUCGGUGUCGUUCUCAGGCGCCUCGUCGUCCUCGUCAAUGCUCAGGCCAAGCUUGAGCAUGCGGUGGAUCCUGGUGCCGAAGGUGUUGGGGUCCUCCAGGCUGAAGCCGGAGGUGAGCAGGGAGGUCUCGAAGAGCAGCAUCACAAGGUCCUUGACAGACUUGUCGUUCUUGUCGGCGUCGGCGCGCUUGCGAAGCUCGUCCAUGAUGGCGUUCUCAGGGUUGAUCUCCAUGGUCUUCUUGCUCGACAUGUAGCCAGCCAUGCUCGAGUCCCUCAAGGCCUGGGCCUUCAUGAUCCUCUCCAUGUUGGCAGUCCACCCAUACUCACCAGUCACCAGACAGCAAGGAGAGUCCACAACACGGUCAGAGACGAUGACCUUCUCCACCUUGUCACCCAGCACCUCCUUGAUGACCUUGCACAGACCCUCGAACUUCUCCUUGAGCUCCUCCUGCUUCUUCUUCUCGUCCUCGCUCUCAUCAAGCUUCAGACCCUCCUUGGUGGCAGAGACAAGCUUCUUCCCCUCAAACUCCUUGAGCUGACCAAUGGCAUACUCAUCAAUGGCGUCAACCAUGUAGAUGACCUCAUAGCCCUUCUUCUUCAGCUUCUCAAGGAAGGGAGAGUUCUCCACAGCCUUCUUGCUCUCACCAGUGAUGUAGUAGAUCUCGUUCUGUCCCUCCUUCAUCCUGGUCACAUAGUCCUUCAGGCUUGUCAGCUCAUCGCCACUCUUGGUGGAGUGGUACCUCAGAAGCUCGGCAAUCUUGGUCCUGUUCUGGGAGUCCUCGUGGAUGCCAAGCUUGAGGUUCUUGGAGAAGGCCUCGUAGAACUUGUUGUAGUCCUCCUUGUUCUCAGCAAUCUCAAAGAAGAGCUCAAUGCACUUCUUGACAAGGUUCUUCCUGAUGACCUUGAGGAUCUUGUUCUGCUGGAGAGUCUCACGGGAGAUGUUCAGGGGAAGGUCCUCUGAAUCAACAAUACCCUUGACAAAGCUCAGGUACUCAGGGAUCAACUCCUCACAGUUGUCCAUGAUGAAGACACGGCGCACGUACAGCUUGAUGUUGUUGGCCUUCUUCUUGUUGUCGAAGAGGUCGAAGGGGGCCCUCUUGGGCACAAACAGGACAGCCUUGAACUCAAGCUGACCCUCAACAGAGAAGUGCUUGACAGCCAAAUGCUCCUCCCAGUCAUUGGUCAAGCUCUUGUAAAAAGCUGCGUACUCUUCCUUGUUGAUCUCCUCUGGUUUCCUCAUCCAGAUAGGCUUCUGCUUGUUGACCAAGUUCCACUCAUGAGAGACUUCCUUGAUCUUCUUUUUCUUCUUUUCCUUCUCUUCCUUCUCCUCAUCAACAUCCUCAACCUUGCCCUCCUCAGUAUCCUUCUUCUCCUCCUCAUCUUCAUCAUCAGAAAUUUCCUUCUCAGUGGUCUUCUCAGUCCACAGGGAGAUGGGGUAGCUGAUAAACUCAGAGUGCUUCUUAACUAGAUCCUUGAUGCGGCGCUCCUCAAGGUAUUCCAUCUGAAAGCAAAUUGUAUCAAAUCAGACAUAUUAACAGAAAGCAUGUGCAAACCAAAAACAGAAAAAGGAUUAAUAGAACAGCCAAACCUCAGCAAUACAGAAUCAGAAAUAAAAUACUAGAUAGAAAUUCCAUGCAGAUAUGUAAUUCCAUGAUACAGUAUUACAAUUCAAACUGAUAAUUGCAGGAGGCCAGAAUUAUAAGAUGUAACACAGAACAUCCAAAGCAGUAAUUAAAAGAGGGCCAAUCGACGAGGAUGAGUUAAUCCAUGCAUUGCUUAAAUAUGAGAGCAUUAGAAUACAGUUACCAAAAGCACAUCAUCAAUUUAAUGAUUUCACAGUCAAAUCUAAAGUAAUAAUACUAUCAAUCAUGGUUAAAAUGGUUGGGACGUCACUGAUAUUUACACUAGGCUACAUAUAAUACACACAGCACAGGUCUGAAACGAGCUGAGUCCAGGAAUGAUAAAAUUACUGGUAUCAAAUUAAUACAGUACUAUCCCAAUACAUACAACAAGCUAGUUAAGCAGUGCAGCCUUCCAUAUCUGUACAUACACUACUAAUCACAUUACCAAAAACUUCCGCAUAAAUGACAAGUCAACCAUGCUAAUGGAUAACAGAAUUUAGCUCAUGCUGCAGAACUAUUGAAACAAAACCAUACAGUUCAGAUCGAGAUUAGCCAAUCUAGCAAACUAUUUUAAGCACAAAAUCACAUCAAGCCAUGGACAGUAAGCAAAUAAGUUUAGAAGGCUUGGACUGCAUAGACAAGUUGAUCACG
rnacentral:lncRNA from 1 species